GAAAUGCGAUACCUGGUGUGAAUUGCAGAAUCCCGCGAACCAUCGAGUCUUUGAACGCAAGUUGCGCCCGAGGCCACUCGGCCGAGGGCACGCCUGCCUGGGCGUCACGC
rnacentral:rRNA from 1 species